ensembl:lincRNA Crnde colorectal neoplasia differentially expressed (non-protein coding)
CCUGGCCCACGCGUGUCCCCGGCAUCAGUGUCUCGGCUCUGGUCCAGGACGAAGACUUCUGAAAGCGAGCCAAGGAGAAUCACAGUUCUUAACGGAGCCCCUGACUGCCCUGUGGAAGGAGGUGAUUUAGAAGAAAGUGAGCUACUGUUCCCAUCGAGAUGCAAAGGACACAGAGCUCACGGGUGCUCCAGCAAUGCUGGUGUCAUGUUUGGAGGUAGCUGACUAUGGACUACAGUAUUCUCCCAGUGCCAGUCUGCAGUCACUGCAAAGCCUCCCAAUAGAACAUUUCUUCCUGAGCCAACCUAUCAGUGCAGCUCAGACUCUGGAAGCAAAUGACCUCUCCUGGCAGAGCCUUCACUGUGUGGGGAACAUCAGAUUUGUGUAAAGAAGAUCACCUGUCUCUUCUCAGGUGAGCACUGUAGAGAAGCUGCUGCGAAGGCCACAGGUCACUCAGGAAAAUUUGGGGCAGUUUUCUAGGUUCAAGGGAGACUGGACAUCAAAGCUGCACUGGGACAUCUGGAUGCCUUGAUCCACUUUGGCCAUUCCACCUCAGCUCAGAAUUACUCACUGGUGUCAGAGUGAUUAAUUUCACUUUCAGUGCCUUCCUUCCCGAGUGGAGUGCUUCUGUAGAGACUCCUAAUUCAGUGAAACCUGUCCAGGGGAUCAUCCAUGCUAGACAGACAGCUGCGAGAGGCCAGUGGCUUCCCAGCAUGGAUUUCAGAUUAUGGCCAAUCAAGA